AUCCCCGAGCUUUUAUCAAAGCUUGGUGUAAGAAUAAAAUGAACUGCAACCCCUUCCUGAAAUCUUCUGGGUCAAAACCAAACAUCAGGGUAUUUUCCCUUCCCUUCUCCUUUCUCCUGCAGGCAGUGAAAUGCAAGACAGGCCUUUACUGGGAAGAUACUGGGAAAUUCUGGGCACACAACUUGUGCUCCUUCAAACAAAAGGACAGCACGAGAAGCACAGAACAAGAGGAACUGAGCAGAUUGUCCACCUCUGCCUGAGGGCUGCAGCAAACCAAGAACCCAGGCAGGAGCAACAUCCUGCUCUGGCAGCUUCCAGGCUGGAGUCUGAACCAAGAGGAAACAGGAGAUGGAAAACGACAACCCAGCUGGAAUUCUCAAAAGAAAACUGCCACCCAGGCAUUACCUGAAGCAUCACCUAAGGAAACCCUCUGUUGUAUCUCAGCAGUCAUUCAGUGCAUCCUAAGUUCUUCCACAACUGUUAUGCAAAAACAACAAUUUCAACCCAUGGUGCAGCAAGAGAGGAAAAAAUAUGUUUCCAGCACCCAAAAAACCAGCCUGGACUUGAGAGAUUAUCUGGUC